GGGGCUGACUGGCUUUGACAGCGAGAUGAAGUGGUUUGUAAGCAUGCAGUGCGUAGUCGGCUGGCACUAUAAUCUCAGACGUCAAAAAUUUAACUGGCAAUAACAAUUACGCUCUUGCU
rnacentral:tmRNA from 1 species